GGACCCGUAGCUCAGCUGGAUAGAGCGUCGCCCUCCGAAGGCGAAGGUCGAAGGUUCGAAUCCUUUCGGGUCCG
rfam:Kozakia baliensis strain DSM 14400, complete genome.